AACAAGCCAUGCAAAAUGCUUAACACAGUACCUGGAAAGUAAUAAGCUUUCAAGACUAGAGCCAUUAUUGCUUUCAGCCUUGCUCAGGAAAGUGGGGAGGAGUGCAGUGAUCAAUUAGUGAUGUCUGCCAAGGCUGGACAGUAGAGCUACGAGAGAGGACUAUUUACCAACCCGGAUAUGUCGGAGGUGGAUUGUGGAGAUAGAAUUGAUAGGACCUGCCAAAUGGAUUGACAGGCUUUAGCAAUAGAUUGAGGGAAAUCAAUGAACUGGGAUGGUGACACCAAAAGCACAACAGUCAACACAUGAGAAAGAGUAAGUGAGAGAGGAGAUUAUGAAUUCAUUUUUAGACAGUGGUGUGGGGAUCUUUCCAGUUGCACAAAAUUUAAAAAACCCCAAAAUACCACACUGAUAUGCUUUAGGACAUUUCAGCAGGUGGGGGCUUUUGAUAGAGAUACACACGCGUGCAGGGAGUUAGCAGAGAAAACCAUCUCAGCAGCUACACAUAACAGCCUCACGGAGAAUAGGAAAACUAGCCAGGCAACCACAGCAACUCCAGUUGCUGGAGCCUGGCCUCCUCUGAAGAGGAGCAACCAUGUUCUUUCCUUAGCAGUUCCACCCCGGCUCAAGGCUCCUUCUGUUUCCACGUCUCCAUCGUUCUGGUUUUCCUCUUCCUGCCUCUCAUUCCGUGGCUAUACUCUCCGUCUUGCAUUCAAGAUGAUUGGACUGCAUAUUUGCCACCCAAUAGGAAGCUUCCCAACUGGGCCAAGUCUUCAAGUCAGACCACCUGGCAAUCUCCUUAGGUCUGGCCCGUGUUGGAUGCCUUUGGCUCAACCUAGCAGCUGUGGCCAGCAGAGCAGAAGGGCCCACCUUUUCCAGAAGGAGCUGUGUAACCAGUAGCUUUCAUGCUCAGUCUGGUGAAGACAUGGUGAAUUGGAGAUGCCUGUGGGAUCUCCGUGAAGCUGAAAAGAACUCUUCACAGCCAAGACACCCAUCACACCUCUUGGAACCAGAGGGGCCCAGAGCUUGCAACACACAUACUCUAAGGGAGUCUCUUCCAACUAAGAACUCAGAAAAGGUAGAGGAAGAAUUGUUUUACCCUCCCCUCCACUGGCGAUGGUGAAAGGCAAGUCCUGCGUAGAAUCCAUCUGGCAAGGGUAAAGGCAGAGACCUUCUGUUUGUAGGAGCAGCAGUGAGAGGCUGGGCUGUGGUGGCUGUCCCCGGCUGGGUGGGGGACACGUCAUCAAGCAGCUCUGUAGCACAGGUGGGGGCAUUUCCUGGCUGCCAGCCUCUAA